rnacentral:lncRNA from 1 species
GACAAACUGGACAGUGGCCAUGUCGAAGAAGAGUUUCUCCCUUCUCCCCCCCCCUCAGAAAGCUGUAUGUCAAAGUUGAAUUGCAGUGGGGUUUGGGAGGAUUGCAGUUCACUGUAAAUAAGAGAGCUGAACAAUGAAGCCAUGUUCUAAUUGGCCAGAAAACAACUUAGAAAACUUCUUCUUGGUGACUUUAUUGAACAGUUCAAGAGCAAAAUUCAAUCUUCUGUGUUACUUUCACAAUUCUUCAGAGAACGACAUUUCUGUCUGUGUCUUCCUCACACUCACACAGAUGCGCACAGGGGACAAACACAUCAGGGGUCUGCAAAAACCACCUCCCUGGAAAUAUCUCCUCAUGCUCCCUGCCAUAAACCUGCAUACAAGAGGUGGACACAUUGCACAUACUUCAUUGAAAGGUUUCCACUUGAGAUAGCUUCGCCAAACUUAUUCCCCCACCUGUCUCUCUGUGGAUCAAGUUUUUGAUGAGUUGGCCCUCGUGGGGUGCUGUGCAAUCAAAUGCAUCACUGCGUAAGCCAGCGUAAAAUGUCCUAGAAGAGGGGGAGGGACGCGGGGAGAGGCAGGAAGAGAGGAGAGGGUGUGUGUGGAUCGAUCACAUCACUGCGCUCGGAGAGGCCAGAGUGACCAGCCAUGAAAUGGUUGCUGUCCCAAGAGUAGGUACCACUGUUGCCCACAGUUCCCUUGCCUUGCCUUGCUUUGGCUUGGAUGCUGUAGAUUCGGACACACAGUACACACAAUGCAUAAUACUUUCAGUGUGUC